rnacentral:rRNA from 1 species
GUGGGGAAUCUUGCGCAAUGGGCGAAAGCCUGACGCAGCCAUGCCGCGUGAAUGAUGAAGGUCUUAGGAUUGUAAAAUUCUUUCACCGGGGACGAUAAUGAAGGUACCCGGAGAAGAAGCUCCGGCUAACUUCGUGCCAGCAGCCGCGGUAAUACGCAGGGGGCUAGCGUUGCUCGGAAUUACUGGGCGGAAAGGGAGCGUAGGCGGCGUGGUAAGUCAGAUGUGAAAUCCCGGGGCUCAACCCCGGAACUGCAUCCGAUACUGCCAUGCUUGAGGGUUGGAGAGGUAGCUGGAAUUCUCGGUGUAGCAGUGAAAUGCGUGGAUAUCGAGAGGAACACUCGUGGCGAAGGCGAGCUACUGGACAACAUCUGACGCUGAGGCUCGAAGGCCAGGGGAGCAAAAGGGAUUAGAUACCCCUGUAGUCC